CUCAGCCCUCCAUCCCCACCAUGGACAUCAUUAAUGGUUUGGUCUUUCUCGGAGUUGUGCUCACUGGAGCUGUGGUGGUUGCAGCUGUGCUAUGGAGGAAGAAGUGCUCAGGUGGACAAGGAGGAAGCUACACUCAGGCUCCAGUGUGAGACAGCUUUGUGUUGGCUUGAAUGCUACAGAUUUCUUUUGAGACUUCAU